rnacentral:misc_RNA from 1 species
AUAAAAGUGAAUACACUCGGUCAUCUUAAGGGCAGUCGUGUCCUUGGCUAUACCAUGGAAAAUGUAACUGAUAUGCAAUCUAAACCUCAAUGGCAACAAAGGGGAAAUGAAGAGAAGGAGGCAGCAGUCCAUGAAGAAAUGAAAAGAAUGAACCAACUUCCUGUAAAUAGCACUUAUGCUGCUCAUCGCCUGCGAGUUCUCAAUAAAAUUCUGCAACUUUUGUCCAUUCAGAGGACUGUCUCACA